GCCAUACAGUCCGCUUAGCGCCGCGGCCGCCCCUCAGCUGUCGCAGGCGUCUGAUAUCCGGCCGGUUGUUAACACAAGCCAGCGCGUUGCUAGGGGGCGGGGCCAGAGGCUACGGACAGCCGGAGAGCCAAACCACCUGAAAGCCUAAUUGCACUCCGCUCCUGGCAGGGCGGGUUUGCAGGGUUGCGGUAAGGAGCCUGCAGGAGGCACCUUGCUGCUAAAUAAGAACUGCUCUCGACAUAAGCAAUAUUGAAGUAAUUGCAGCUCAUCCAUGGCCAGAUGUUGACUAACAAGAUCCUCCUGUUCCACAAGUCAUAACUGCAGGUUUGAUUGGACAAGGGACUGAUUCAGUACCUUUCCCCUGAUAAAAGACCACCCACCAUGGACUGGUUCUGGCAGGUUUACAGAGACCAAGUACUAGUACAUUCACGUCUCUGCUUCUCCUUUUGAUGUAUAGGGACUUAAUGCAUUUAAAUGUUAAGUUUCCACUCCACAGUGAGCACAGGAUGCAUGUCACAUGCAUGUUUAUUCAGCACCCCUCUUAGUGAAGAUUCACAGCUCCUCUUAAAUCUGUUGAAUAUGUCUGUUUAGCCAACUCAUUUGGCAUAAAGCUUCUGUUCCAACCCCACCUCCUUCAAAGUGCCUGUUGACUGUCUCUGUGGGAGCAUGGGCUUCCCAGCCUGCAGAAUGGCCAGCCUGCAGGUUGUAACUCAUUAUAAGAAAUAAAGUCUCCUUUCUAAAUUUA